rnacentral:rRNA from 1 species
AACGAACGCUGGCGGCAUGCCUAACACAUGCAAGUCGAACGAGACCUUCGGGUCUAGUGGCGCACGGGUGCGUAACGCGUGGGAACCUGCCCUUAGGUUCGGAAUAACUCCCCGAAAGGGGUGCUAAUACCGGAUAAUGUCUUCGGACCAAAGAUUUAUCGCCUUUGGAUGGGCCCGCGUUGGAUUAGCUAGUUGGUAGGGUAAAAGCCUACCAAGGCGACGAUCCAUAGCUGGUCUGAGAGGAUGAUCAGCCACACUGGGACUGAGACACGGCCCAGACUCCUACGGGAGGCAGCAGUGGGGAAUAUUGGACAAUGGGCGAAAGCCUGAUCCAGCAAGGCCGCGUGAGUGAUGAAGGCCUUAGGGUUGUAAAGCUCUUUUACCCGGGAUGAUAAUGACAGUACCGGGGGAAUAAGCUCCGGCUAACUCCGUG